UGAAGCUUUCUGGCCAUCUGAACCCUUCUGGAUUUCUGAUCAGUGGCAGUGUUGAAAGAGAAAGGCUCUAGGGGACAAUGGACGUGACAGCCAAGCAGAGGCCUGGAAACCACACGGGAGAGAAAGGCCAGACCCAGCCUCUGAGUGUGUUUUCCUUUCGGGAGAUGCUGCAGGAGUGAGCAGGAAUGACUUGCGAUUCAGCCAAAGUGAUGGGCUGGGUCAGCAAAGACGACCAUGAAACCAGGACCUGGGUGCAAAACAACGCUUUCUCCGGUA